rnacentral:rRNA from 1 species
GACGAAGGGGCUAGCGUUGUUCGGAAUUACUGGGCGUAAAGGGCGCGUAGGCGGUUCCUUAAGUCAGGCGUGAAAGCCCUGGGCUCAACCUGGGAGUGGCGCUUGAUACUGAGGAACUAGAGAGUGGGAGAGGUUGGUGGAAUUCCCAGUGUAGAGGUGAAAUUCGUAGAUAUUGGGAAGAACACCGGUGGCGAAGGCGGCCAACUGGACCAUUCUGACGCUGAGGCGCGAAAGCGUGGGGAGCAAACAGG